AACGUAGGUACCGAGCGUUAUCCGGAUUUACUGGGCGUAAAGCGCGUUCAGGCGGUUUGGCAAGUCGGGCAUGAAAUCUCUCGGCUCAACCGGGAGAGGUUGUCCGAUACUGCUGGACUUGAGGGCAGUAGAGGGUGGUGGAAUUCCGGGUGUAGUGGUGAAAUGCGUAGAUAUCGGGAGGAACACCAGUGGCGAAGGCGGUUACCUGGAGCUUUGCUGACGCUGAUGCGCGAAAGCGUGGGGAGCGAUCCGG
rnacentral:rRNA from 1 species